AUGACUAAGUUUUCUUUCAUAUCCAUUCUUGUCCUUUUCUUUAUUUUUUCAGUUGUAACCAUGACAUGUCAAGCAGACAAAUUAUGUAAGACAAUCCGUUAUGGUCCUUCUAGUGUUUGUAUCCUUUGGGAUUGUCAACAAUGGUGCUAUGAGCAGUAUGACGGUAACGGAGUUUGUGAGCCAUUGGGAUCAGCAACCAAAUGUUAUUGCGUAUAUAAAUGUUAA